UGACAUCAUCUAUGACAGUAAUGUACCCAGCCAUGACAGAGUCUGAUGAGCUGCUGCCUCAGUAAAUCAGCUGCUGAAUGCAUCAAGAUA